rnacentral:rRNA from 1 species
AUUGAACGCUGGCGGCAGGCCUAACACAUGCAAGUCGAGCGAGGCGGGGACGGGAGUGACAUGUAUGGAGAUCUGCCCUAUAGAGGGGGAAAACUCCUGGAAACGGUGGCUAAUCCCGCAAACUAGUCGAUUAACGCAUAUGGGAUUAGCCAGUAGGUGGGGUAAAGGCUAACCUAGGCGACGAUCUCUAGUUGGUCUGAGAGGAUGAUGCGCCACACUGGGACUGAGACACGGCCCAGACUCCUACGGGAGGCAGCAGUGGGGAAUAUUGCACAAUGGGCGCAAGCCUGAUGCAGCCAUGCCGCGUGUAUGAAGAAGGCCUUAGGGUUGUAAAGUACUUUCAGCGGGGAGGCGUUACCCGCAGAAGAAGCACCGGCUAACUCCGUGCCAGCCGCCGCGGUAAUAC